rnacentral:lncRNA from 1 species
CAUGGUAGCUACUUGGCAAAAGCACAACUUCAACAAAUUAUUCCUGUACAUUCCAUAUCCUUCAGAAAUUACAUAAACAUUGCUUGAAGAAGAGCAUAAAUAUCCAUUAUCUCCUUGGUAAUCUAAUGGUAGCUAUAUGGUGGUCUCACUAGAGAAUGUGAUGACGAUACACGCUUUCCUAUUAAGCAUGCCAUAAAGCUUGUUGGUAUCCUUCUUCUUCAUCCUAUUUUGGGUGUCAAAGAACUUGAGAUCCCCAAAGAGCUUGGUUGGUCAAGAUAGAGAACGUCCCACCAAACUUUGACCAAAUGAGACUUAGAUGCAUACAUAGGUAUGCCACCAACAUCAAACUAGCUAAAAAGAUAUGAGU